AUUGAACGCUGGCGGCAGGCUUAACACAUGCAAGUCGAGCGGGGGAAGGUAGCUUGCUACCGGACCUAGCGGCGGACGGGUGAGUAAUGCUUAGGAAUCUGCCUAUUAGUGGGGGACAACAUCUCGAAAGGGAUGCUAAUACCGCAUACGUCCUACGGGAGAAAGCAGGGGACCUUCGGACCUUGCGCUAAUAGAUGAGCCUAAGUCGGAUUAGCUAGUUGGUGGGGUAAAGGCCUACCAAGGCGACGAUCUGUAGCGGGUCUGAGAGGAUGAUCCGCCACACUGGGACUGAGACACGGCCCAGACUCCUACGGGAGGGAGCAGUGGGGAAUAUUGGACAAUGGGGGGAAACCUGAUCCAGCCAUGCCGCGUGUGUGAAGAAGGCCUUAUGGUUGUAAAGCACUUUAAGCGAGGAGGAGGCUACUUUAGUUAAUACCUAGAGAUAGUGGACGUUACUCGCAGAAUAAGCACCGGCUAACUCUGUGCCAGCCGCCGCGGUAA
rnacentral:rRNA from 1 species